CCAUCCUUCCCUGGUCUCAUUACACACCAAUACGAGGGUAGUUUCGUCCACAAUAAUUGUCUGUCGUAAGCAAACGACUUGGGCCACUUGGCUUUUAGCGUGAAAGUGAAGUGAAGGAGGAAAUAAAAAACAAAACAAAAAACGCUUAUACCUUGAUACACACCAGACCACCUCGAAGAAGAAGUCUCCUUUCGUGUCUUUUUUCUCUCAAAAGUUUAAAACCUUCGACAGCUUCUGCUUCUUCUUCCUCUUCGCUCCUCGCUCUCUCUACUGUUUGUUUCCGUACAGUCCCUGUAAAUCCCUUCUCUGUAGAUAGAAGAGAUAGAGAAAGAGAGGCCAAUUUCUGCGCACAAAUACUUUCUGGAAAUGUUGGUUCCGCGGAGAGUGAUGACGUGGAGGUCGGUGGCCAAGUCUCUGCAACCUCUUCUUGCCCAUGCCUCGCUUUUCACAUUCACGAUUUUCCUCGUCCUUAAACUCCACCAUGCCGUGCGGUACCAUUGGUGGAUCAUAUUUUCCCCUCUGUGGCUUUUCCAUGCAGUUGUAGCACGAGGCAGAUUUUCGUUACCUGCUCCAAAGCUGCCUAAUGAUCGCAACUGGGCACCUUUUCAUGCUGUCAUGGCGACACCGUUGCUUGUCGCAUUUGAACUAAUGCUUUGUAUCUAUCUUGAGAGCAAAUAUGUUGUAAGCUUGAAGAUUGUCUUUGCACCUUUGGUGGCGUUGGAACUCGCAAUUCUAUUUGAUAAUAUCAGGAUGUGUAAGGCUCUAAUGCCUAGCGAUGAUGAGCAUGUGAGUGAUGAUGUGAUAUGGGAAACGCUUCCUCACUUCUGGAUCUCUAUAUCCAUGGUCUUCCUUACUGCUGCCACAAUAUUUACUCUUCUAAAGAUAAAUGGUGAUAUUUCUGUUUUAGGCUGGUGGGACUUGUUUAUUAACUUUGGAAUUGCAGAGUGUUUUGCCUUUCUUGUUUGCACGAAGUGGUAUAAUCCAGCUAUUCACAGACAUGCUCACAUUCAAGAACCAUGUUCACCUUCAAUGACUAUUAGAUACCUUGACUGGAAUAGUGGCUUAGUAGUUUCUUCAGAUGAAGAUCAAGACGAGAGUGCAGUAUGCAGCCUGCAGGAUAUUGGUGGACAUAUUAUGAAAAUUCCUCUAAUCUGUUUCCAGAUCCUACUCUUUAUGCACUUAGAGGGAAGACCGUCUGUUGCUAGGCAUAUCUCAAUUCCUGUUCUUUUCACUCCUCUUCUUUUACUGCAAGGAGCCGGUGUUUUAUUUGCUGCAUAUAGAUUAACAGAGAAAAUUCUUCUUUUAGUACACAAUGGAGUUUUUUCUGGAAGAUACUUGGACAUAACAUCAAAAGUUCGUGAGUAUUUUGGGUUCUUUCGCCAUGGUUCAAGGUUUUUGGGUUGGUGGUCGAUUGACGAAGGAAGUCGAGAGGAACAGGCUAGACUGUAUUGUGCAGGGGCUUCAGGGUAUGACACUUUUUCACCUGAUAUAGUGAAGAAGUUGCCUAGAUCGGACCUUGUUCAGGAGAUUUGGAAACUGCAAGCUGCACUCAGUGAGCAAACAGAAAUCACGAAAUUUAGCCAGCAGGAGUAUGAAAGACUUCAGAAUGUAAUGGUUCAAAUGACCUGUUGUUUUCCACAUAAUGAGUAUACGAAUAUUUUCCUGUUGAUUUCAUAAAUUUCGUUCCUAACAACUCAAGUCAACCACAUCAAACAAUUGGGUUAGCUACAUGAGUCCUCUGUGAUAGAGUCGUGAACAUAAAUUCUUUUCCCCACUUCUCCAGUCAUGAGCCAGUCUCCAUUACAUCUUGAAUAAUCUUGUUCCUACCUUUAGUGGUUCUUUUUAUAACCUAUCGAUUUAGCUUUCAAGAAUCAUUAUACUCGAGAAGCUCAAGAGUGAAAUGUCAUUUAACUAAAAACCAGUGAGUUCUGCUGGUGGAGUAGAGAAUUUAUGAGUACAAGGUCUGCACAGACCUGUAGUUCCAGUAGUAAGAUGAAUCCUGUCCAAUCCCUGGCAAUAACAAGAAGUAGAAUCACUCAUCAGUUCUGAUUGUUUCUUGUAGAGAAGAGAAGGUGACAUCUCUCUAACUACAGAACAGGAAAAGAUUUUAUGUCGAGUAUGCUUCGAGGAGCAGAUUAAUAUAGUCCUCCUUCCAUGCAGGCAUCAUGUUCUUUGCAG